rnacentral:lncRNA from 1 species
AUGUCACCCAGCAAUGCAGAGCAAAAGGAGCCCACUUCUCUGAUCCAUCCCAGGUAUGGCGUGCAUGUCCCUGCAAGGACAGCAAAGGUCACACCAGUAGCCUGGGGACACCCAGGGAGCCUUUGUGCUGAAGAUGGCCCUGAGAGAGGAGACACAGUGGCUUCAUGGCUCCUCCAGGCCAGUAAUCCUGCAUACAUGAACGCCUGUGCGAGUAGAAGCAGGUUUCCCGGCAGAAACAUCAAUCACAGAACUGGAAGAGAGUGGCAAAAGGACAAAAGAGGCGGUAUCAUUUUCCCUUGUUUUGCUGCUACUCUUCUUUCUUUCACCUCGCUCCUCUCAGCUGCAGUGCUGCCCAUCUGUGGUGACAUGGACCCAGCCAGGGAAUACUUUCCACAGGUUCAGCACUGUGAGUACCAGGAGUUCUGA